GGAACAGUCGCACAGUGGUCAGUGUCUGCGCCUCAUAAGCGCAUGGACGUGGGUUCGAAUCCCACCUGUUCCACCA
rnacentral:tRNA from 1 species